GGAGAGAUGGCUGAGUGGUUGAUAGCUCCGGUCUUGAAAACCGGUAUAGUUUUGAAAAAAAAAAGAACUAUCGAGGGUUCGAAUCCCUCUCUCUCCU
rnacentral:tRNA from 3 species